AGGAAGAAAGCAGUAGAUAUAAGUAAGUUUCUCGAGAUUCUAGGUGCGGAUUCGCAGCACUUUUUGUGACAUCUGUUUAUCAGGAAGGCCUCAAAGCCUUAGUCACUUCACCUGAAGGAGCUAGCUUCUCUGCUGAGCCCGAUCUCUGUGUCGUAGGGCAGAAAGUGGCUCAGGAUGAGUGAGCCUCGGCUUUGAGAAAGGCCGUCUGCGCUUUUCUCCGUUGGGCAGCUGAUGCUUUAGUGGCACAUCAUGGCCCAACGGGCAGUGUGGCUCUUAAGCCACGAACCUGGAACUCCACUUCGUGGCAUCCUCAGAUUCUCCAGACGGUAUCCAACUGUUGAGAAACGAGCCAGAGUCUUCAAUGGAGCAAGUUAUGUGCCUAUUCCUGAAGAUGGUCCCUUUAUCAAAGCACUACUCUUCGAACUUAGAUUAUUGGAUGAUGAUAAGGGCUUUGUGGAGAGUCGUGAUAGCUGUUCACACAUCAAUAAAACGUCUGUCUAUGGACUCACAGUAGGAGGUGAAGAACUCUGGCCAGUUGUUGCUUUUCUGAAGAAUGGCAUGAUAUAUGCCUGUGUUCCACUAGUUGAACAAACUUUAUCCCCUCGACCACCAUUAAUUAGCGUUAGUGGAAUUUCACAAGCCUUUGAACUUCUUUUCGGGUUACAGGAUUUUCUUCACUCAGGUAAAAAAAAUGACACUGAGCUAAAUACAAAAUUGAGCCAGUUACCUGACUUGCUUCUGCAGGCUUGUCCAUUUGGAACUUUGUUAGAUGCCAACUUACAGAAUUCACUGGAUGGUAUUAAUUUUGCUUCUGUGCCUCAUACACAAAAACAGCCAGCUUGGAGAGCUGGAAUAUACAAAGGAAAACCACAAGUUUCUAUUUCUAUCACUGAAAAGGUAAAAUCCAUGCAGUAUGGCAAACAGGAUAUUGCAGAUACAUGGCAAGUCGUUGGAGCUGUCACUUGCAAGUGUGAUUUAGAAGGAAUCAUGCCAAAUGUUACCAUCAGCUUGAGUCUCCCAACCAAUGGAUCUCCACUUCAGGAUAUUCUAGUUCAUCCUUGUGUGACUUCUCUUGAUUCUGCCAUUCUGACUUCUAGUAGCAUUGAUGCAAUGGAUGAUUCUGCAUUUAGUGGACCUUACAAAUUUCCAUUCACUCCACCAUUAGACUCAUUCAGCUUAUGCUACUACACUUCCCAGGUCUCUGUCCCACCAAUUUUGGGUUUUUAUCAAAUGAAAGAGGAAGAAAUACAACUAAAAAUAACAGUUAAUUUAAAACUUCAUGAAAGUGUGAAAAAUAAUUUUGAAUUCUGUGAAGUUCACAUACCUUUUUACAAUAGAGGUCCAGUUACACAUGUGGAAUACAAAGUUAGUUUUGGCCAACUUGAAGUAUUUCGAGAGAAAAGCUUACUCAUCUGGAUUAUUGGAACGAAGUUCCCAAAAUCAAUGGAAAUUAGUCUUUCUGGAACUGUAACUUUUGGAGCCAAGAGCCAUGAGAAGCAGCCAUUUGAUCAGAUUUGCAUUGGAGGUACAACAUAUUUAAAGCUUCAUUUUAGGAUCUUAGAUUACACCCUCACAGGGUGUUAUGCAGAUCAGCAUUCAGUUCAAGUUUUUGCAUCAGGAAAACCAAAAAUAAAUACACGCCGGGAACUAAUUUCUUCUGACUAUUACAUCUGGAAUUCCAAAGCUCCUGCUCCAGUAACAUAUGGAUCUUUAUUACUGUAAUCACCUCAUGUUUAAAUGGCACUAUUACAAUGGUAACAUAGCUUAAAUUAAAUUAUAGUCUUUUAAUAUGUAUACUUAUAACCUCUGGGGAAAAAAUCAUUGAAUAAUUUAAUUAUAAAAUGCUCUUUAAUGUUUUUAGUCUGACAUAAUUUGAAAGAACUUUUUAAAGACUGAUAUCUCCAAUUCUGUUACCCUUUGAUUUUACACAACUAUGAUUCCAAGCAUAAAACAGUACUGAUUGACUGUAGGCUUGUUUUAGACUAGUCUUGGGUCAUCCUGCCAUACUUGUUCUUUCCUGCUUCUGUGGCAGACAUGGCUAAUCAGUCAUGGCCCUUUUUCACCACUGAGCCUUUCUGGAUAUGGGCUCAGGCUUCUUCUCAAUGCAGACAUACAAACAGCUACUCCCAAUGGAUUAGAGAUAACAUGCAAUAGAAAAAAACUCUUCGUUCUUCCAAACGUUAGUGCUAAGCUCCUAGUACAACAUGUUAUUACAGAAUACCAGCCAACUAACUACAUAGGAAACAAUUGAAAAUCUCUUUAAAAAAUAGCUAAUAUGAAGAAAAUUUGUUUAAAUAGUAGCUUGUUCUUAAUCAGAACUGCCAUAUUAACUAAUAAAGAAUCUGUAUAAUUCUAUUUAAGGUGUUUAUCUCUGUUCUAGAGUUACUUUUCAGGUAAGCUUAUUAAUCUGCCACAAAAAUAUUUUACUUAGGAUGUCAGUAAGCACACUGAGAGGGAUAGGAUACCUUCAGAAGGUGAGCAGUGUUUUGUGAUUACUUAGUAUCUACAGCCAAAUUUUCAAACGUAAAGCUAGGUAUAAUUGCUUUUCUCAUGUUGUGUUAUAUUAAAAUUUAUUAAUGAAUUCAAGUAAAAAUUCGAAAGCUAUUCUGUGGGUAGGGAGUAUCAUUUAAUCUUAUUUUUCAGUCUCAUGUAGCAUAUUUUCUUUAAAUUUGUCACUCUUACUUCCUUAUUAGCAUUCUCUUGGUUUCUUCAGGAACCAUCCAGUCAUACUUUUUAUUCUCCGCCUGUCUUUACAAUUAUAUUUCUUUCUGGUUCAAAACAGUUCUCAUUGUCAAAUUGGACUUGAGUAUUCAACAAAGAUGAAAUCUCAAGUUCUUCAAAGCUCAAUCCAUGUUGUUUCUUUUUACAGAACAGAAUUAGAAGCAUUAUAAAAAUGUAUAUUACAGAUUAAUAUUCAAUUAAAUUCUUUCGGUUUCUCAGAAAACCUUAGAGAAAGCUGCUAACUCUUCAGGAAAGCUAUGAUAGUUUGAAGAGAUAUUGCAUAUAAAUUCAGGAUUUGAAAUAGAUUUUUUAAUUAAGGUCAAUUGUACUCAUUAUAAGUUUUCACCUUCUGCAAGGCAUAAUGUUCUAUGUCCAAAAUUAUCCCAAGGAACAAAGAAAACAGAAUAAAACUACCUGACCAGGACUUUAACUUGUUAUUCUAGCUUAAUCAUAGAUAAUCAGGAGUAAAAACUACCCUUCUGAAAAAAUGAAAAAAAUCAUUCCCUUAAAGUUAUUGGUUUCUCUUAAAAAUCAAGGAAAGUUUAACAUUUAAUUUAUGUUAAUUUUAAUCCAGCCAUUGGGACACUUGAUUGUCUAAAUGUUUGGCAAGGUACACUAAGAAUGCAAAAGGCAUUUAUCUAGUGAGUAGGCAGAGGUUCAGUGUAACAGUCACCUAGGGAAACUUUCUUCAUAAACAGUUAGGAAAACCAGUGAGUCUUUGGACUUCUUAGAAACCUGAGGAAAAUCUAGGGAGUCCUGGAAAAGUUCAGGGACGAAGGAGAACCUGAUGCCAUCUGUUGCCAUUCGUCCGAACAUAAUGUUACAGAACUAAAACCAACUUCUGUUUUCAUCCCCAUGAGAUCAGCUGGGCACACUAUGUUGCUUUUGAUUUUGUCUACAAACCUGUCACUUCAGGAUAAUUUCUGAAGACAAAGUCCGUUUCCCGUUUGGUAGGUGACCUGUUUUAAUGUUUUCCCUGUGUCUGGGAACUCCUUAGUGUAAUUAGCGACCUUUGAACUCCACAACUAAUCCUGAGCUAUUUUGUAUUCCUUACUCAUCUUUAAGGCUGGACCUUUCUUUUCUUCUGAGUCUGCUGCCACAAUUAAAGAAGAAACAGCUGCAUUUCAAAGGGAUUCCGAUUCCAGAAGCUUAAUCGUGAUUGACAUGUUCUUAUUCUAAGCUUAUUUCAAACUACUUUGUAGACAGUCAUAGACUCCUGCAUCGCCCCUGGGAGAUAGGUAGGUCGAGUUAUCAUUCAGAGCCUCUGUGGGGAUGGCUGCCAAAGCAGAACGGUUGUUCCUAAGACAAAGGUCAGAAAAGGGUUGUUAAUCAACAGUCCUCAGGUUUAAGGGACUUUUUUAGGAUUACAUCUUAAAUUCCAACAAAUCAGAUUUAGGAGUUACUGAAAGUGAAAUUGAUCCAUCCCUCAUCCAAACUUUGCAAUACUUUCCUGUUCUGACAUCAUUUAGAUAGUUAGCUGUAUUAUCAGAUUAGAAACCAUUGUACCAGGCUGCUGAAAGGAAAAGGAGGCAAAAAGCUAAACAUGGGAUGAAUUCUGAACCUUUUAACCUGGCUGAAGUACGUUGCUCCCUGUUAUGCAAAUACUUUCAAUCCUCUGCUAAGUUCAGUGGAAAUAAUUUUCUUGAAUGACAGGUUUAUUCAGCAAGGAUUCAGUUGGUGAUUAAUCCCCCUUUGAUCUAGGGUAUUUCACUUAACUACCAGUUACCUCGUUCUGACAAAGUGCAACUGAGAUUAGGGAGAUCACUAGAAUACUACCAGGGUGUGCGUUUAUUCUCUCUAACCUUUUAAAGCAAGGGCCAAGAAUGUAAUUUAUUUUCAGUAUUUGAAGAUGUAAAGUCUUGUCUGCUAAGUUAGAAAGUCAAUUGAAUACUAAAUGAAGUUUAUUUCUUACGUAAUAGAACAAACAUUUCUUUUUGCUUUGCCUAACAAUGAUUUUAGGAAAACACAGGCUUUGAAGAAAGAAGAAACAAAGACUAUAUUCUAAGCAUGUCUUCCAGUUACGUGUAGUAGAGUGUAUACUUAUUGGCCCUGCAGUGGUUACAACUUAGGUUGAGAAAAUGCUUCCAUUUUAUUAAACUGCAAGGUUUCUACCAGCCCUCCUGCCCCCAUUAAAAAAUGCCAUGCUAUGUGGUUAAGAUCCAACUGGGGAAAGCAAGUUGUAAUACACAAUUAUUCACCUUAAGACUUCUGAUUCCAAAGCUUUACUUGUUAACUUAGUCCUUUUGUGAGCAAAAGCAGCUUGUUCUGUUACCAUAAGAAUAAUUGCAUUCAUUUUCAGAAUUUUUUUUUAUCAAGUAAAGGAUGCCAUGCAAAAAUAACUUCAAAGUGUUUCAAAUUUCAGGAUAACUGUCUUCCACAGUAUUAUUAGUCCUACUUUUUCUGCCUUUUUCUCAUCUAACUUUGGGUACUCUCUUCUAUAACUUUAAAGUUUAAAGUAUUCUAUGGAUUUUUAUGCAGUAUUUUAAGAAUAAAAUUUUAAGAUGUGUCUCAUGUUAGCUUUCUCAAAUAAUUCACUUUUUAAAACAAUGUCUUUGUCAACAUUUUAUCCAGCAAGAUGUGAAAUUAGGGGAUUUUAUUCCUCAAGUGUAUUUUAAUACCCUAAAAAAAGAAACAUAAUGAUUUGUAACAAAAUUUGUUUUUAAAUGUUAGAUCAUUAUUAGUGAUUAAUUUUAUUAUUAGUGAUGAAGUCUCUUAAAAAUGCUUUGUAACUGUUCUUUAUUCUGCAGUUUGCAAUUCAGAUUGUGUAUGUUGAUAGUUUUCUCUAACAUUUUGGCUCAAACUUUUUGUGAUGCAGUUUCUAAAUUGAAACAAUAACUCAAAGAAGUGCAUGUUUCCCUCAUUUUAGUGCCAAACCAGCCUCUCUAGUUUAGAAAACAAACUGUUUCUAAACAUCUUCUGAUAGCAAGUUACUUAACUGCAGCAAAAUUGAGGUUCAAAAGUAUGUAAGAUGGAAGGCAGGGUCCCCUGUCUAUGUUGCUAAAAACUAUUAUUUUUGAUAAUUGACUACUCUAUGUAGUAAAUAUUUAGUUAAUAAAGUAUUAUAUUUUGAAAUAAUGCCAUCGGAGAAAGAAUCUAUAUAAAACAUGCAUGUGUAUGGAUUUAUGUAAUAUAGCAUGUCUGACUUAGUGGGUUUUCCUAUGCAGUGCUUGAGUAUCAUGUCAGAGGAAGAAUAAUAUUUAAAGCCAAAUAUUCAAAUAUCUUACUUCCAAACACAGUUAUUAGUAAUGAGGUUCAUUAAAAUAAAAAUUGCCAAAGAACUUGUGAUAUUACUUUUAUAAAAUGGUUAAAAACUCUUAUAUGAGUUAACACAACUAAUCUCUAAUUUUUUUCAUCAGUUGUUUUGUAGAUACAGUAAUAUUAUUGUCCAUAGAUAGCCUGGAGCAGUGCAAUGCCUUAUCUGUAUUAUUAGUUAAAUGCAUUGUAAGCAGGUUACUCUGAGGCCCAGGUUGAUUUCUCUAUGGCUCUAGCUAAUCUGUAUAAUUGUUGGCAGUGUGGUACUAAUGUAUGAUGUACUGCAUUUACAGACUGAUGGAUGGAUGCCCUGGGAUAGAAACCACCUGCUGAAUUGUUCUUACGAAGAUUCAUUUAAAUAAUCCAUCAAACAUUUAAAGUCAAACAGUUUUCUUUAAAUGUCUUCUUUUUAAGUGGUAGUUUCUGUAAAAAAUAUGAUUGUUUCAUUGACACACUACUACUAAUAAUAAUGAAAAAUAAAAUACUGUUAUCCCUCUUAAAA